AGAGUUUGAUCAUGGCUCAGAUUGAACGCUGGCGGCAUGCUUUACACAUGCAAGUCGAACGGUAACAGGCCGCAAGGUGCUGACGAGUGGCGAACGGGUGAGUAAUGCAUCGGAACGUGCCCAGUCGUGGGGGAUAACGCAGCGAAAGCUGCGCUAAUACCGCAUACGAUCUAUGGAUGAAAGCGGGGGACCGUAAGGCCUCGCGCGAUUGGAGCGGCCGAUGUCAGAUUAGGUAGUUGGUGGGGUAAAGGCUCACCAAGCCGACGAUCUGUAGCUGGUCUGAGAGGACGACCAGCCACACUGGGACUGAGACACGGCCCAGACUCCUACGGGAGGCAGCAGUGGGGAAUUUUGGACAAUGGGCGCAAGCCUGAUCCAGCAAUGCCGCGUGCAGGAAGAAGGCCUUCGGGUUGUAAACUGCUUUUGUACGGAACGAAAAGGCUCUGGUUAAUACCUGGGGCUCAUGACGGUACCGUAAGAAUAAGCACCGGCUAACUACGUGCCAGCAGCCGCGGUAAUACGUAGGGUGCAAGCGUUAAUCGGAAUUACUGGGCGUAAAGCGUGCGCAGGCGGUUUUGUAAGACAGACGUGAAAUCCCCGGGCUCAACCUGGGAAUGGCGUUUGUGACUGCAAAGCUGGAGUGCGGCAGAGGGGGAUGGAAUUCCGCGUGUAGCAGUGAAAUGCGUAGAUAUGCGGAGGAACACCGAUGGCGAAGGCAAUCCCCUG
rnacentral:rRNA from 1 species